rnacentral:lncRNA from 1 species
GACAUUUAUUCAGGAGGCUUUCAAGAGGAGGCUGGAGGUGCCAUUUUCACUCCCACUUGUGGGAGGGGACUCGUGUCUGUCACGUCUUGAGCGAGACCUGGGUUCGUUUACACUGGUGGAAAUGGCACCCUUAAUUGGAGAACCUUUAGAAUUGAUUUCCUGAUUGUGCCGCAUGCUGUCAAAAAGAUGUGUUCCAUUUCAGCGGUUGAUCCUGGAUUGAGAAGUUUCCAGCCUGGAAUGAUUACAAUUGAAAGAGGUUUUUUUCCUUAUUCUUCCUGCUGCCGACAUACCCACUGCUCUCUUUUAAAACAACAACAUUACCGGGCGCCUGGGCCGUUCAGUAAGUUAAGCGUCCAACUUCGGCUUAGGUCAUGAUCUCAUGAUUCAUGGGUUCGAGCCCGGCAUCAGGCUCUCACCCUCUCAAAAUAAAUAAAGAAACACUUAAAAUAUAAAAAAAAAU